CGCGGCCUAUCAGCUUGUUGGUGAGGUAACGGCUCACCAAGGCAUCGACGGGUAGCUGGUCUGAGAGGACGAUCAGCCACACUGGGACUGAGACACGGCCCAGACUCCUACGGGAGGCAGCAGUGGGGAAUCUUGCGCAAUGGGCGAAAGCCUGACGCAGCAACGCCGCGUGAGGGAAGACGGCUCUCGGGUUGUAAACCUCUUUCAGCAGGGACGAAAUUGACGGUACCUGCAGAAGAAGCGCCGGCCAACUACGUGCCAGCAGCCGCGGUAACACGUAGGGCGCAAGCGUUGUCCGGAUUUAUUGGGCGUAAAGAGCUCGUAGGCGGUUUCGUAAGUCGGGUGUGAAAACUCAGGGCUCAACUCUGAGACGCCACUCGAUACUGCGAUGACUUGAGUCCGGUAGGGGAGCAGGGAAUUCCUGGUGUAGCGGUGAAAUGCGCAGAUAUCAGGAGGAACACCAUUAGCGAAGGCGCUGCUCUGGGCCGGUACUGACGCUGAGGAGCGAAAGCGUGGGGAGCGAACAGGAUUAGAUACCCUGGUAGUCCGCGCCGUAAACGUUGGGCACUAGGUGUGGGUCUCAUCCAACGAGAUCCGUGCCGUAGCUAACGCAUUAAGUGCCCCGCCUGGGGAGUACGG
rnacentral:rRNA from 1 species